rnacentral:pre_miRNA from 1 species
ACCCAAACCCCAGGGCUGCUGACUCCUCGUCCAGUGCUCGUGGUUGCUGCUGGGCCCUGAACUAGGGGUCUGGAGGCCUGGGUUUGAAUGUCGCCAG